UAAAUAUCUAGACAGGGUUGAUCCUCCACAAGAGGAGAGUUGAUCACACAGAAAGACCUAAAAGCCAUAGAGAGCUACAACAGUGUUUCCCAACCGCAAGCCCCCUUCAUUUCUACUACACAACACGACCUCUGUGGAUCAGUAGCUCUUUCCUUUGCUCAGCAACCAAACAGCCCAUUCCCUGUUUGUUUCAACUUUGCAGGGGAUCACCAACGGGGAGCUGAGAUACUAGAGUUUUCCAUGGAAAUGAAAGUUAAGAAGGGCACCAGGGAGGCCAUUGGCACACAGAGCAGUCAAUAGUAUUGAACAAGAAAAAGCUGCAUGACUUUUAGACCGGAGGAGUGAGGACAGCACUUAGAGGAGAGUCCGCACCGGUAAAAUGCAGGAUAAUAAUGGCACCUACAUCGUGGGGUUGUGAAGAUUAAAGAUUAACAUUGAAGAAGCAUUCAGAAUAACACCUGGCAUAAGCCUGCUUUGGUCCAAGGUCCUCUUUGGAGAGAAUCCUGAAAGUGUAAAUGACUUGCAGCUGAACCAGGCCCCUACUUCACGGGUAUGUACUGCAUUAAACCCCACACCCCUGCUUGGCCUCGCCUGGGAAAGCUUCAGAAGAGCUCUUCAAAGCAGACCUCAUCAAAACAAACACCCCUACCUCUACCCCCAUCUCCUGUGCUCUUCAGAAAACAAACAACAAUACUUCUCUGUUCACCAAACAGAAGGAGAAUUUUCUGUUUAAAGUAUUUUUUUCUUAUUCCCUAUUGGCAGCACUUACUAAGGAACGGAUGACUUUCAAGUUGAGUGAACUCUGUUUGAAACAUAAGCACAUAAGAAUCCAGGUGCUUAAAACUUUUUCAAACUUAGAGACAUCCUUACAACCUUCAUAUAAAAAACAUAUUUUUAAUGUUUUAUUAAAACCUCUGUCAGUUUAAAGGAAAGGAUCUCUUUGACCACAGAUUUUGAGUAACUACAUUUACAAUGAAAGCUAGUAAGCAAAAUGUCUAAGAUGCUAUUUUCCUUUCAAACUUUUGGAAACAGCUUUGGUGUUAGAUGGACCUGGGUUUGAAUUCUGUUUUCCUUACUUCCUAGCUGUAAGAUCUCAAGCAGCUGACCCAACCUCUCUGUGCCUCAAUUUCUUCAUUGGUAAAAUGCGGAUAAGAAUAGUACAUAGUAGCCAGGCAUGGUGGCUCAUGCCUGUAA